GGCAGACCAAAGAAUUUGCACUGUUGAUAUCAAAUAAUAUCUGAGGCAAUAUUUGAGAUAACAGCAGUCUAGAUGUAGCAUAACUCUCUUCUGUGCCUGCAAGGCCCAAUUCCCUAAUUGCUUGUUAUGUCUAGAUGUGGAGGAGCCUCCCACACUGUCACGUCAAUAUCCCAAAUCAUGGUUUGAUGGUACCUGGUCCAGUAGAAUUGUGAAUUUUGAAUAUGAUCAAUAUUCAAAAUAUGAUCAAGAAUAUGAUCAAAAAAUUGCAGGAAGGGCAAGCAAGUGCUGAGAACAGAAGAGAAGGUUAAGAGCACAAGAUGACCUCUAUCAUAGCUAUGCCUAAGUGUCCCCCAGGCAGCUGAGGUAUCCAUAGAAGCCCGACUGGAUCGUGUCCCAUAUCUCUGGUUCCCUGGCUGGACCCUUCUUUCCUUGGUGAAUGAGCAUGCAUCGUCAGGUCCACAUCAGCCUUAAGUAUUGCUACCAGUAGGUCAGGACCAUAGCCAGGCACUUUUCCCUUGUCAAGUAAUUUUAAGGAAUGGUCCAGCAGCUGUCCCUUCUUUCUUUAUCCUUUCUUCUGUGUUUAGAAAAAGUUAUCUUCCGUGUGCAUUGAAUGUAAAUUGGUUCAGAGGGCUUCCAGGUGGCCUCAGCCAUCAAGAUUUUUCCUAAUCACAGUAAGACUGAAGUGAGACUUUAUGCUUAUGUGAACGUCUGACAGAACAAGGCUCGACUGUUGCUGGUGGAACAAGUCUUUGAAAUUUCAGUUUCCAUUUUCUUCUGACUUUUUGGCCCCUGAAGAGACAAGAUGCCUGUAUCAUACUGUAAGGUGGAAACGCAAGGUUGUCAUCCCUUCAGUUUGCCUGCCUCUGUGAAUGCCUAUUUGAGCCUCUUCCUGCAAAAAGCUAGAGAAGAGUAUGACUUUUUCUGCCCUAUGGGACUAGUUUUCUGCUCAGUCUGUUUUCUGCAUCAGCUCAUUGUGGUGUCACAGAAGCAGGUGGGAGCAGUGGGAGCAGCCUACCCUCACAGGUGGCAGUUCCCAAAUGGACAGCACAGCUUCCAUCACCCUUGGGUUGCUCAUGGGAACACAACAGAAGGCACACCAUCUCCCACUUUCUCCCAGGGUAAAGGAAGGAACUGCAACUCAGCUGACUUCUCGAUGCUGGAGAUAAUCCUGAGUCUAUAAAACUUUGCUGGAUAUAGCACUGUUUGCAGAGUCUCCUUCCAAGAUUGAAGAGUGAGCACAUUCUUGUCCGGUCUUCAGAGCUGCAGUUUGGAAAAAAACACAACUUGCCAGUGUUUCCUGCCAUGCGGUCUUCUGACAGCAUAGAUGUCUGCAAUGAUCCAGGCACAAUCAUUUGAGAAAUAUGGGAUUGUAAAGACAACAACUGAGCUGGGACCAGUGUGGAGAAACCUGUUAUCUGAGAACCUUGGGCACUACCCCAGCUGCUUCAAAAAUGGAAGCUUUCAAUUAACACUUUGCACCGUGACAGCAAAUGGACAUGGCAAGUAUUUUGCUAUUUGCAGAUAAAAGUGAACCUGUCUUCUGUAUCACUAAAAUAAUCAAUUAACUAAAAGGAAUAAAUUCCGCCACUUUUCAGCUGCAACAUGGCAUUUAAGUCAAAGGACUUGAUGACAUCAGAACUCAGAAGCAUCAUUUAAAAACAAACAAACAAAAUAUAACCAAAAAGAGAAGUUCUAGUGCAAACCAGGAGGAUGCAAGCACAAAAACAUCCUGUUUAUACUCAGGGUUUCUGGGACAGCAGAUUGUUUUUCCCUUUGCACUUGAUGCAUUUAAACCAAACCACAGUUUAUCACCACCUGGGGGAAGAAAGAAGAAGCAACUCCUUCAGAAAGAAAUCCUUUAAUUUGAUGUUUCAGAAAAUUUCAGCAGCUACGGUUGGAUUGUUUAAAGGAUGCCUCUCCUAGAAUUUGUGUUGGUGACUCUUCAGUACAGGCUUAGGAAAUGAGAGCGCCAUAUAGAGGCCAGACAAGGUGCUGGGGAAGCUUCAGCAUCUGCCAGUGGGCAGCUCACUGCUGACCACAGGAGGAUGCACUGAAAAAGGCACAGCCCCCUUAGCUUGCAUCAGUGCUGCAUGAAUCCUCAGUAGUUAAUGAAUCAUAGAAUCACUUGAGUUGGAAGGGACCCUUAGUUGUUACCUAGUCCAAUUCCCCUGAAAUAAAGGCUGCUUUACUGUUACAAAUGUUACAAACUCAAUAUGUUUAAAAGCCAGUGUUAGCAGGGUUCUGCAUGGUACAAUUGCAUAUUUUGUAAAAAGUUGGGCCAUAUUAAAUUACAACUGCUGGCACUUCUUUUACUCAAAAAGAAACCUAUUUAUUUGUCAUCUCUGUACCUGUUCUUUCCCUUUGUGCCAGAACACAUUCUAGAUAGAUUUUGUUUGAAGGCUUAGCUGAUACUGGCUGAAGUGCAACAGCUGCCUGGAGCAGCCCAAAUGUUAGAUUGGAGUGCAGGGUAGAGGGCACAAAUCACUAUAAGUGAUCCUUCCUUUUCCUUUUCCUUUU